rnacentral:rRNA from 1 species
UACGAAGGGGGCUAGCGUUGCUCGGAAUCACUGGGCGUAAAGGGUGCGUAGGCGGGUCUUUAAGUCAGGGGUGAAAUCCUGGAGCUCAACUCCAGAACUGCCUUUGAUACUGAGGAUCUUGAGUUCGGGAGAGGUGAGUGGAACUGCGAGUGUAGAGGUGAAAUUCGUAGAUAUUCGCAAGAACACCAGUGGCGAAGGCGGCUCUCUGGACCGAUACUGACGCUGAGGCGCGAAAGCGUGGGGAGCAAACAGG